rnacentral:rRNA from 1 species
UACGUAGGGUGCAAGCGUUAAUCGGAAUUACUGGGCGUAAAGCGUGCGCAGGCGGCUUUGCAAGACAGAUGUGAAAUCCCCGGGCUCAACCUGGGAACUGCAUUUGUGACUGCAUGGCUAGAGUGCGGCAGAGGGGGAUGGAAUUCCGCGUGUAGCAGUGAAAUGCGUAGAUAUGCGGAGGAACACCGAUGGCGAAGGCAAUCCCCUGGGCCUGCACUGACGCUCAUGCACGAAAGCGUGGUGAGCAAACAGG